rnacentral:rRNA from 1 species
UACGGGGGGGGCAAGCGUUGUUCGGAAUUACUGGGCGUAAAGGGCUCGUAGGCGGCCAACUAAGUCGGAUGUGAAAUCCCCAGGCUUAACUUGGGAACUGCAUCCGAUACUGGAUGGCUUGAAUCCGGGAGAGGGAUGCAGAAUUCCAGGUGUAGCGGUGAAAUGCGUAGAUAUCUGGAGGAAUACCGGUGGCGAAGGCGGCAUCCUGGACCGGCAUUGACGCUGAAGCGCGAAAGCUAGGGGAGCAAACGGG